CUUGGGUAGCGACGCCCUUAGCGGCUGCCCAUGGAGCUGAUCGUCCUUGGCAAACGAUGACUGCCGUGGCCUCCUCGGAAGUAGGCUGGCACGUUAAUUUUGCUUGUGACAGCUCGGUAUUCUGGUAGUUUACGGUGCGUUCGUGAGUGUGAGUAUACGAUGGGUAGUCUUGUCAGUGAUGGGUUUUCAAGCUAUUGAAUUGAUCAUCAGUUUGGAUGAUGGAAUCUUGACCGAAAACUAAUUAAUUUGCUUCAGUUUUCAUGAGGAUAGUAUAUUUGGUGUCGGACUAGUGUGGCCUUGGUGAAACCAACGAGACAUAUUAUAGUCGGAGGUUUUGCGUUUCCUGCAUUAGCAUGGAGUAUCAACCCACGGACGAAAAUUAACAAGCGCUGUUGGUUCAAGAGGUUUGCAGUUCCUGGACUGGAAUAAAAGGAGUAUCGAUGGACGGACGGAGACUUGGAACUUGUGGUGGGUCUGGCCUUUAACGUUGUCCGCUGUCAUGGAUCCCCCUUAAGUUUCUCAAAAAUUUAUGAGAUUGAUAACAAAGUAUGCUUUUAAAAACUGUUAAUUAUCUUUUGAAUGUUUUGUAUGUUUAA